UACGUAGGGAGCAAGCGUUGUCCGGAAUCAUUGGGCGUAAAGCGCGCGUAGGCGGCCCCGUAAGUCCGCUGUGAAAGUCAAAGGCUCAACCUUUGAAAGCCGGUGGAUACUGUGGGGCUAGAGUCCGGAAGAGGCGGGUGGAAUUCCGGGUGUAGCGGUGGAAUGCGUAGAGAUCCGGAAGAACACCGGUGGCGAAGGCGGCCCGCUGGGCAACUGCUGACACUGAUGCGCGACAGCGUGGGGAGCAAACAGG
rnacentral:rRNA from 1 species